rnacentral:rRNA from 1 species
UCGAAUGUAAAGUUCUGUGCCAGGAAGACAGNUGGGAGAGUANCUCUUUCAGGNGCNGUGCUUGAGAAGAAACCCGUGAUAAGUACGUCACACCAGCUAGGUUAUUCGUNUGGGUAAANUUUGUCCGGAUUUUUGGGUGUAAAGCGCGUGCAGGUGGUCUUCUAAGUGUGNCAUUAAUCGCGGGUCUAACCCGGGAUAACACUGAAAGUGGGAUGAUUGGAGUCAAGAAGAUGGAGAGUGCAUUUCACCGNGCAGUGAUGAAAUGCGUAGAGAUGUGGAGGAGCAUCAGUGCCGAAGNGGUCUCUAUGGNCUGUAACUGCAGCGGAGGCGAGAGAGCAUNGAGAGCAAUUAGGAUUAGAUGCCCUGGUAGUUCUCUCCGUAAUUGAUGAAUGCUAGUUGUAAGGGGUUCUGAUCCCCUGGGUUCAAAAGUUACCGCAUUAAGCAUUCUCCGGGGGGAGUCCGGUGGCAAGACUGAAACUCAAAGAAAUUGACGGGGACCCGCACAACCAGCGGAGUAUGUGGUUUAAUUUGAACCAAUGCGAAGACCCUUGCCAGGUGUUGACUUCCUUCUGGCGGGUUUAGAGAUAGCCCUUUCCUUCGGGACAGAGGAGACAGUUGGUGCAUGUUUUUCGUCACCUCGUGUCGUGAGAUGUUGGGUUAAUUCCCCCAUCGAGCGCAACCCUUGAUCUUAGUUGCCACCCCUUGGGGUGGGCUCUCUAAGGUGACUGCCGGUGACAAUCCGGAGGAAGGUGGGGAUGCCGUCAAAUCAUCAUCCCCCUUAUGCCCUGGGCUACACACGUCCUACAAUGGCCGGUACAACGGCCCGCGAAGCCGCGAGGUGGAGCUAAUCCUAAAAAGCCGGUUUCAGUUCGGAUUGCAGGUUGCAACUCGCCUGCAUGAAGUCGGAAUUGUUAGUAAUCGCGGAUCAGCAUGCCGCGGUGAAUACGUUCCCGGGUCUUGUACACACCGCCC